UGACGAUCAUCCGGCAGUAGAGACUUUCAAUGUAGACCACAUCAGUCCUGUCAUAGAGCGCCUUCAGAGACUUGAAGGGAAGGUCGAUGAGCUUGGCAGCAAGCCUCCAGCGAUUCCUGUGGAGAAAGAACGAUCCCUCUUGGAGUCAUGGGAUAGGAUAAAAUGCAUCGAAUCUGACCUGGAGCGAACAAAGAAGGUAAGUUUCCAUCAAGUAUGUCAGUUUAUCUCCAUUUGUACCUGGUGAUUCCAUUAGUACUAAGAAUCCAUACAAAAAUUAGAGAAUAUUUACAAAUUAAAAUUCCUAAUUAAAUGUAAAACGGUGCUAUAGCAUCAAUUUUACUAGAUUGUUAGACAUGGCAGAAGCGGAAAUAAAGGCAUUUGAAAUGUUGAAACGCAAGUGUUGAAACAUUUCUGUACACAACGCAACUAAAACCAUCUUGUUUUAAAUAAAAGAUAAAAUGAAGUGGCGGGAAUAUAUCAUUCUCAUGCAUCCGUGAGAACAGAUGAUUGAAGACUGUUCAGAGAAAUCGCUAUCUAAACUUGCUGCCAAUGUCAAGCGAAAAUAAGGAAAAAAAAACUUAUUUUUUGUCAGGUGCUGCAAGCCACUGUGAGGAAGCAACUGGAAAGCGCUGAGUCCCUAGAGGAAGUGAUUAGAUCAAGCCUACCUGUAAGAUCAUCUGCUGGGCUCUUUUCUGUCUUCAAACCUGGAUUGUAAUGUGGCUAUACUGUUCAUCUCACCGUACUGUCCAUGCAGAGACGAAGAUUUUGUUUAUAACAAGGAACCAGUACUGCUGAAAUCAAGAUACAUCCUGUCGCGGAGAAAAAUAUGCACAGGAAUUCGAUUGGUGAUGUGAUGAAGGCCGUGCAUUCAGUUGUCCACAUUACUGGCAGAAAAGAUGGUGACCACGGAUAGUGAAAAACACGGUCCACUUAUUUAUUUUUUUCUUGUGACCCUAAGAGGCCUGUGCAUUUUUCAUGUUAACAGAGGAUGUUAGGAUGGAUGGCAUUGCAAGGGCUAGAAAAAUAGGAGAUAGAAAUGUGGAAAGUGGGGUGGUACCCGAACAACUGAACAAGUGCGCAUAUUGUGAUAUACAGGUCCGCGUCUAUGUUAUCUUUGCAAAGAAUUGUGCGAUAUUACUAAUGUUAGGGAAGGGGAUAAAAUAGAC
rnacentral:lncRNA from 1 species